rnacentral:lncRNA from 1 species
GGCUCGUGGCCCAUGCUGAGAAUGAUUAUUGAGCAGAGGCUCUCGGCCCUGGCUACACAUUGCCAUCACCUGGGGGAGCUUUCAGAAAGCAAUGCCUGGUCCCCACUGCAGAGAUUCUGACUUCCUGGACUAGCGAUGGGCUGGGGCACAUGGAUAUUGAAAAGCUUCCCAGGUGAUUUCUACGGUAGAGAGUCACAGCACCUCCAGAAGCUUGCAGGCUUUGUUGUUCUGGUCCUGCAUGCUGGACUUGGAGUGGCAACAUGGUGCAGUGGAAACCACGAUGCACCUGGACACAGAAGACUGAAACUUGACUUCCUCAGGAGGUCACCUGAUCUCUCAGAGUCUGCUGUUUCAUCCCAGCAAAGAGGUUUGGUUCAUCAAUCCCAUGUUUCCCAAGUUGGUCCAAGCUUAGCAUGAGGAAUAUCUUUGUCCAUCAGGUGAACAGGAACCCAGCCAGGGCAACUUAGCAACGUAGUGAGACCCUGUCUCAAAAUAAAAAAAUAAAAAUUUCCAAAAGGGUUGGGAAUGUACCUCAGUGCAAAGGCCAUGGGUUCAAUCCCCAGUACUGGGAGGAUGCAGGGAAUAUGAGCCCUAGAGCCAGACCAGCACUCACUAGCUCUGUGACCUUGGGCAUUUUAC